CCCCUCGCGACUCCGUCCUGGGCUGAGGCCGUCUGAACCUGAGGGGCUCGUCGGCCUGUGACCUUCAUGGGCCUGCUGGCCGCUCUGGGCGGUUUUAGAAAGUGUUAGAAAAACAAGGCAAGGCCCCCCAAAAAGGACCAAGAGAUACCCGACCUCCGGGGAAAGGGGGUCAGGAUAUUUAUUUAUUUAUUAAAUUUACACGCCUCCCGGUGACUCUGGGCGGUGUUCAAAUGGUUAGAAAAUAUGGAAACUAGGAAACCCCACCCCAAAAGAUCAGCAAGGUGGCAGAGGCACUGAAGCUUCAGAGGAAGGGGAUAGGAGGGUGGGUGGGCUUAUUUUAUAUGCCCCCCGACUCCUGGCAACUCUGAGUAUGCUCACCAAUGGUUAGAAAAACACGAAAACAACGCAGAAGAGAACCGAGAUGGCAGAGAUACUUCGGAGAAAGGGGGUUAAUUUUUUAAAUUUAUAUGCCACCUGACUCCUGGUGGUUUAGAAAAACAUGAAAACACAACACGAGAGAGCGCACAGAUGGAAAGGGUAACAAACCCAGGUGAGAACAAAGAAAAAGGGGGCAUGGAUUCCUUUAGUGAAUUAACGCCUGUACUGGGUUUCCUUGGCACGGGGAUUUGUGACUGAACAAGGAACAGACCUUAGUUUGCAGGGCUAGUGCGACACCCCAAGCCACUUCAGCCAAUCCUCCCCAAUUACAUUUACUUACUGUAGGUAUGGACAUAUAUAUAAGGAGAUAGAGUCCGUUCUCGUUAUUUAUAGCAGUUGUGUUCUGUAAAGUCACCACGAACAUUGAAUUAGCGAAUACUAAACCUCAGCAGAGAACAUGCACAUCGAGCGACUCCACUUUCUUCACUGCUUUGCACAAUGUCUGGGAAUGACUUCAGAAACACCACGAGUACCGGUUUUGGGGUUACAAAUAAAUUUUAGCAAGUAGGUGAAUUUGCAAAUACAGAAUCUGCGAAUAAUGAGGCUCGACUGAAUAUGUUUGUAAAUGUAAUUGGGGAGGGUUGGCUGAACUAAUACAGAACCAUGUAGUUUUGGGGUCUCACCACACACACUGAGCCACAAGCGACCCACCUGUGUUUCAGGCCAGGGUGAUGCGGGAACACAAGCUUUGAUGGAUGGAUAACUUUACAGCUCUUGCUUUCUCGUCAGUAGGGUCAUCAACUUAACCAUGCUUCUCCAGCAGUCACAAUUCUCCAAGGGAGGGCAUUCUUGCUAAAUUCUGGGAACAGGAUCCAAGAGCAGGAACUUGAGGUCUUGCAGUCAAAGCUGAGCUGGCCUUGGGAGUUCCCUAACGUAACCGGAGAUUUGCUUUAAACCAGCUCAGAUUCUGCACUAGGGAUAAGAAACCCAGAGAUGCCCCAAUCUGGGAUAUCUCCCCAAGGUUCCAGAAAGUAUGAGUAGCAACGGAUUGUGGAAGCUGUAGGUGAAAAGCACUGGAGAUCUUUUUGGUUGUCUACUUAAGCCAUGCCAUCUCCAGUGAAAAGCAUGGUGAUAUUCUAAUAUAGCAUUUGCAAAAAAAAAAAAAAAAAAGAGGCAAAAUCAUAUCAAAAGAAUAGUGGGGAAAAGGCUCAAAUUCUUUAUCUUUUAAACAGGGGAAGGAGAUCCUAUUGCCAAGUGCUGGAGUUGGCCAGAAGGAAUACCAGCAUGGUCACAACAGCAGAAAGCAAACAAAUAGUGCAUUUGUGGUUCAUCACUGUGAGGGAAGAUCUCCAUUUACAAAUCAUUUCUUGGACAGUAUCUCACAAGUACCACCUCAUACCUGCUAUAACCCUUCCUGAGAGCCAUCGUAAUGGUCACCUGAGAAGCUUUGUUACGCUGAAUCAGACCAUCUGGCUGGCAAGAGCUCCCCAGGUUUUAACAGAGGAGUUUAUUCAACCCUUUUGGAAAUUCUAGGAUUAGACCAUCACCAUCUGGCUGCCAAAUAUGUAUUGUACCCUUGGGCUACGGCUCACGUGAGAGUUCUCACACAGUCAGUGAAAGCAAUAUGACAGCAAAUCCAACUUGCAGAAACAAGAGGCAGAAACCCUACCAAAUGGGGUGGGGCAGCCCGCUGUGGACAGCGAACAAGGGAU